rnacentral:rRNA from 1 species
CAUGCAAGUCGAACGGUGAAGCCAAGCUUGCUUGGUGGAUCAGUGGCGAACGGGUGAGUAACACGUGAGCAACCUGCCCUGGACUCUGGGAUAAGCGCUGGAAACGGUGUCUAAUACUGGAUAUGAGCUCUCAUCGCAUGGUGGGGGUUGGAAAGAUUUUUCGGUCUGGGAUGGGCUCGCGGCCUAUCAGCUUGUUGGUGAGGUAAUGGCUCACCAAGGCGUCGACGGGUAGCCGGCCUGAGAGGGUGACCGGCCACACUGGGACUGAGACACGGCCCAGACUCCUACGGGAGGCAGCAGUGGGGAAUAUUGCACAAUGGGCGGAAGCCUGAUGCAGCAACGCCGCGUGAGGGAUGACGGCCUUCGGGUUGUAAACCUCUUUUAGCAGGGAAGAAGCGAGAGUGACGGUACCUGCAGAAAAAGCGCCGGCUAACUACGUGCCAGCAGCCGCGGUAAUACGUAGGGCGCAAGCGUUAUCCGGAAUUAUUGGGCGUAAAGAGCUCGUAGGCGGUUUGUCGCGUCUGCUGUGAAAUCCCGAGGCUCAACCUCGGGCCUGCAGUGGGUACGGGCAGACUAGAGUGCGGUAGGGGAGAUUGGAAUUCCUGGUGUAGCGGUGGAAUGCGCAGAUAUCAGGAGGAACACCGAUGGCGAAGGCAGAUCUCUGGGCCGUAACUGACGCUGAGGAGCGAAAGGGUGGGGAGCAAACAGGCUUAGAUACCCUGGUAGUCCACCCCGUAAACGUUGGGAACUAGUUGUGG